AUUGAACGCUGGCGGCAGGCCUAACACAUGCAAGUCGAGCGGAUGAAGGGGGCUUGCUCCUGGAUUCAGCGGCGGACGGGUGAGUAAUGCCUAGGAAUCUGCCUGGGAGUGGGGGAUAACGUCCGGAAACGGGCGCUAAUACCGCAUACGUCCUGAGGGAGAAAGUGGGGGAUCUUCGGACCUCACGCUAUCAGAUGAGCCUAGGUCGGAUUAGCUAGUUGGUGGGGUAAAGGCCUACCAAGGCGACGAUCCGUAACUGGUCUGAGAGGAUGAUCAGGCACACUGGAACUGAGACACGGUCCAGACUCCUACGGGAGGCAGCAGUGGGGAAUAUUGGACAAUGGGCGAAAGCCUGAUCCAGCCAUGCCGCGUGUGUGAAGAAGGUCUUCGGAUUGUAAAGCACUUUAAGUUGGGAGGAAGGGCAGUAAGUUAAUACCUUGCUGUUUUGACGUUACCAACAGAAUAAGCACCGGCUAACUUCGUG
rnacentral:rRNA from 1 species